CCAAAAGACAACUGGAUGAAUGAGCAAGGGAAUUCCCUAAGUGGGGCCCUCUGUGGGAAGCAAUAAGAAGUUGCAGAAGUCAUGAAAUAGAGCACCACUUGGUGACACCUACUGGGAGCAAUAGGUGUCACAGUACAGCCAAGAUCAACCAGCAAUACUUGAAGGGAGCUACUGAGAAACACAAGGAAUACUGAAGGGACCCACCACAAUGGCACCACUAACACAAGGCAAAAGGCCUGUGAUUUCAUCAGUGUAGGAAGUCCCUGAUGAGGAAACUCCCUCCAGCAAUGGAGACUUUCAACUGUUCUUCAAGAUUAUCAAUUGCCUGGGCAACUAGAGGUUGUGACUUGCCGAAAAUCACAUAGUCAACAUGGAUCAGAGCUCCUGCAACAAUGCAGGCAAGGAAACCGAAGCCACCUGGAAGAGGUUGGAUCCAAUCACAGAAGGUAA